CUACGGGAGGCAGCAGUGGGGAAUCUUGCACAAUGGGGGCAACCCUGAUGCAGCGACGCCGCGUGAGCGAUGAAGUCCUUCGGGGCGUAAAGCUCUUUCGGCAGGGAAGAUAAUGACGGUACCUGCAGAAGCAGCUGCGGCUAACUACGUGCCAGCAGCCGCGGUAAUACGUAGGCAGCGAGCGUUGUUCGGAGUUACUGGGCGUAAAGGGUGUGUAGGCGGUUGUUUAAGUUUGGUGUGAAAUCUCCCGGCUCAACCGGGAGGGUGCGCCGAAUACUGAAUGACUCGAGUGCGGGAGAGGAGAGUGGAAUUCCUGGUGUAGCGGUGAAAUGCGUAGAGAUCAGGAGGAACACCGGUGGUGUAGACGGCUCUCUGGACCGUAACUGACGCUGAGACACGAAAGCGUGGGUAGCAAACAGGAUUAGAUACCCGUGUAGUCC
rnacentral:rRNA from 1 species